rnacentral:rRNA from 1 species
GCUCAGGACGAACGCUGGCGGCGUGCCUAAUACAUGCAAGUCGAGCGAAGUUUUUCUGGUGCUUGCACCGGAAAAACUUAGCGGCGAACGGGUGAGUAACACGUAAAGAACCUGCCUCAUAGACUGGGACAACUAUUGGAAACGAUAGCUAAUACCGGAUAACAGCAUUAACUGCAUGGUUGAUGUUUAAAAGUUGGUUUUGCUAACACUAUGAGAUGGCUUUGCGGUGCAUUAGCUAGUUGGUGGGGUAAAGGCCUACCAAGGCGACGAUGCAUAGCCGACCUGAGAGGGUGAUCGGCCACACUGGGACUGAGACACGGCCCAGACUCCUACGGGAGGCAGCAGUA